UACGAACGCUGGCGGCGUGCCUAACACAUGCAAGUCAGGGAGAAAGAGGUAGCAAUAUCUCGAGUAAACCGGCGAACGGGUGAGUAACACGUAGGUAACCUGCCCUCGAGUUGGGAAUAACUUCGAGAAAUCGAGGCUAAUACCGGAUAAUGCAACGAACUCGCAUGGGUUUGUUGUUAAAGUUCCGCGCAAGCGGAACGCUUGAGGAUGGACCUGCGGCCGAUUAGCUAGUUGGCGGAGUAACAGCCCACCAAGGCGACGAUCGGUAGCCGACCUGAGAGGGUGACCGGCCACACUGGGACUGAGAUACGGCCCAGACUCCUACGGGAGGCAGCAGUGAGGAAUAUUGGUCAAUGGCCGAAAGGCUGAACCAGCAACGCCGCGUGAGGGAUG
rnacentral:rRNA from 1 species